CGGAAGGCCUCGGCCUUUCACUUUCGGGAAACGUCGGGGUUAGGUGAAGGCACGCAGUUGCCUUUUGUAAAUUAAAAUGAUAAUUGGGCCAAAACGUACAGCCUUACCUGAAAGGCAGCGCCGUCGGGAUAUUGGUAGGUCGGGGACAGCUUUGGAAACCCUUAGGUUUACAAGCAUGCGCGGACGUGAGUGCUCAUUAGGUCUCGGGGUGGCCACGUGCAGCCCGGGACCCUGAACCCGGGCGCGCGUGGGCCGUGCACCCGGGGACUCCGGCGAAGCGUGUUUGGCCGUCGGUGUCAUGUGGCCAACUUGAGUCUAGUCGCUCUUCGUGCCUUAGCACCUCGAGAACCGUCAGUUUGCACCAGAUGGAAGCUGAACCGAACUCAUUACGAUGGAUGAUGGAAACAGACUCGAGGAAUCAAAACUGGUAAUGGGUGAAGUCUAUUCAGCGUCCUGCAGUGGAUUUAUCUUAGUUGGGGAAACGGAUGUUUCGAAUGAUGUUGUGGAAGUUAUCAGGAUGCCCAUUUUCAAUAUAGGCCUGAAUUGUUUAACGUUAAUUUUUAAGGUGGUCCUUAAAUAAAAUGCAUAAUUUUAUGUGGCUA